rnacentral:rRNA from 1 species
GACGAACGCUGGCGGCGUGCUUAACACGUGCAAGUCGAACGGUGAAGCGCCUUGCUUUUUUGUCGGUUUGUAUGAGUGGCGAACGGGUGAGUAACACGUUAGUAACCUGCCCCCUUCUGCUGGAUAACCGCAUGAAAGUGCUGCUAAUACGGGAUAUUCUGAGUCUGUCGCUUGAUGGGUGUGGGAAAGAUUUUGUGUCAGUGGGGGAUGGGCUCGCGGCGUAUUAGCUUGUUGGUGGGGUGAUGGCCUACCAAGGCGACGAUGCAUAGCCGGCCUGAGAGGGGGGUGGGCGGCAACAGUGGGACGCAGACGCGGAGACGACUACUAGAGGAGGCAGUAGUGAGGCAUAUUCAACGAGGGGAGGACGGCUGGAGCAGCGCCGCGGCGGGAGUGAUGGUGGCCGUAUGGUUGUGAACUUCUUUUGGGAGUGAAGAAGGCUGGACGUGUUUGUGGGUGGGUUGACGGUACCUAGUCAAGAAGCGCCGGCUAACUACGUG